AGAGUUUGAUCAUGGCUCAGGACGAACGCUGGCGGCGUGCUUAACACAUGCAAGUCGAGCGAUGAAACUUCUUCGGAAGUGGAUUAGCGGCGGACGGGUGAGUAACACGUGGGUAACCUGCCUCAUAGAGGGGAAUAGCCUUUCGAAAGGAAGAUUAAUACCGCAUAAGAUUGUAAUGUCGCAUGACAUAGCAAUUAAAGGAGCAAUCCGCUAUGAGAUGGACCCGCGUCGCAUUAGCUAGUUGGUGAGGUAACGGCUCACCAAGGCGACGAUGCGUAGCCGACCUGAGAGGGUGAUCGGCCACAUUGGGACUGAGACACGGCCCAGACUCCUACGGGAGGCAGCAGUGGGGAAUAUUGCACAAUGGGGGAAACCCUGAUGCACAACGCCCGCGUGAGUGAUGACGGCCUUCGGGUUGUAAAGCUCUGUCUUUAGGGACGAUAUGACGGUACCUAAGGAGGAAGC
rnacentral:rRNA from 1 species